ACAAGCAGCGGAGCGUGUGGUUUAAUUCGAUGAUACACGAAGAACCUUACCCAGGCUUGACAUGUUGGUGGUAGGGAUCCGAAAGGUGACCGACCUUCGGGGAGCCUUCACAGGUGCUGCAUGGCUGUCGUCAGCUCGUGUCGUGAGAUGUCCGGUUAAGUCCGGUAACGAGCGCAACCCUCGCUGUGUGUUAUAUGUGUCACACGGGACUGCCGGUAUCAAGCCGGAGGAAGGUGGGGAUGACGUCAAGUCAGCAUGGCCUUUAUGUCUGGGGCUACACACACGCUACAAUGGCCAGUACAAUAGGUUGCAAGACCGCGAGGUGGAGCCAAUCCUUAAAGCUGGUCUCAGUUCGGAUUGCAGGCUGCAACUCGCCUGCAUGAAGUCGGAGUUGCUAGUAACCGCGCGUCAGCCAUAGUGCGGUGAAUACGUUCCCGGGCCUU
rnacentral:rRNA from 1 species